rnacentral:rRNA from 1 species
UACGUAGGGUGCGAGCGUUGUCCGGAGUUACUGGGCGUAAAGGGCAUGCAGGCGGUCGGACGCGUUUCGGGUGACAGCGGGUGGCUUAACUACCCGAGUGGUCGAAAGACGGUUUGACUUGAGGACGCGAGAGGGACACGGAAUUCCGGGUGGAGUGGUGAAAUGCGUAGAGAUCCGGAGGAACACCGAAGGCGAAGGCAGUGUCCUGGCGCGUAACUGACGCUGAGGUGCGAAAGCCAGGGGAGCGAACGGG